UGGGGAAUCUUGCGCAAUGGGCGAAAGCCUGACGCAGCGAUGCCGCGUGAGCGAUGAAGGCCUUCGGGUUGUAAAGCUCUGUGGAUGGAGACGAAUAAGUCGUAGUUAAUACCUGCGAUGAUGACGGUAUCCAUUUAGCAAGCACCGGCUAACUCUGUG
rnacentral:rRNA from 1 species